UGAUCCUGGCUCAGAUUGAACGCUGGCGGCAUGCCUUACACAUGCAAGUCGAACGGCAGCACGGGAGCAAUCCUGGUGGCGAGUGGCGAACGGGUGAGUAAUACAUCGGAACGUGUCCUGUAGUGGGGGAUAGCCCGGCGAAAGCCGGAUUAAUACCGCAUACGCUCUACGGAGGAAAGGGGGGGAUCUUAGGACCUCCCGCUACAGGGGCGGCCGAUGGCAGAUUAGCUAGUUGGUGGGGUAAAGGCCUACCAAGGCGACGAUCUGUAGCUGGUCUGAGAGGACGACCAGCCACACUGGGACUGAGACACGGCCCAGACUCCUACGGGAGGCAGCAGUGGGGAAUUUUGGACAAUGGGGGAAACCCUGAUCCAGCAAUGCCGCGUGUGUGAAGAAGGCCUUCGGGUUGUAAAGCACUUUUGUCCGGAAAGAAAACCUCUGGGUUAAUACCCCGGGGGGAUGACGGUACCGGAAGAAUAAGCACCGGCUAACU
rnacentral:rRNA from 1 species